GGAAGGAUCAUUAACACGUGAUACUCACGUAUUAACCAAACGCGAAUUGUUGUUUAAGCCUAUUAUUAGAAUCGAGCUGGCUGUUUGGAAUGGUGUGGGUGACCGGUGCUUCGCGCAUAGGGCCCUGUCUUUCGAGUCUAGCGCUUCGGUGCGCGGCCCCGACCUAAUAAUAGUAGAUGAAUUUCGGCUGCUUAUUAAGCCUGCACCUUGGCUUGCAGUUGGAGUGCCUUAUUUAUUACCCCUUUUUUAUAUUUAAUUCUGAUUUGUACGUUUAUAUGAAUUCCUGACUAACUUCGGUUUUUUGGUUGAGUUUUAUAUAGAUGUCGUAUAUUACUAAUACGAAACAACUCUUAGCAACGGAUAUCUUGGUUCUCGUAACGAUGAAGAGCGCAGCGAAAUGCGAUACGUAAUGCGAAUUGCAGAAUUCAGUGAAUCAUCAAAUUCUUGAACGCAACUGGCGCCUUCAGGUUUACCUGGAGGCACGUUUCUCUCAGUGUCGGUUAUACUCUCUCCGAUUAACUAAGUUUAAUUACUCAGUGAAAGGGACAAUGAGCGUUAUGACUUCGCGGUCAUAUCACUUUAAAUUGAACGAGUUAGUUUUUUCAUAGUUGGUAGUUCUCACGAACCGCCGCUGUUCUCGACUUAGUUAUGUGGGUAACUCGUCUUCGGAUGAUGCUUUACAUCAACUUGUAGUUAAUGGUUCACUAUGCUGAAGCUGGCGUAAAACUGUAGAUUCACUAAUCUUUAUGGUUAAUGUUUCUCAUAUUUUGACCUGAGAUGAAGCGAGGCUACCCGCGGAAUUUAAGCAUAUUAUUACGCGGAGGAAAAGAAACUAACAAGGAUUCCCCUAGUAACGGCGAGUGAAGCGGGAAGAGCUCAAGUUUAAAAUCGAUGUGCUUUUGCACUUCGAGUUGUAGUCUCGAGACAUGCUGUCUGCGGUGACGUCGGUACAAGUGCCUUGGAAGAGGUUAUCAGAGAGGGUGACAAUCCCGUCGCUGACCGAUAGUUUGCCGCUUUCGACGUAUGUUCACAGAGUCGGAUUGCUUGGGAGUGCAGUCCUAAUUGGGUGGUAAAUUUCAUCUAAAGCUAAAUAUUGACGAGAGACCGAUAGCGAACAAGUACCGUGAGGGAAAGAUGAAAAGAACUUUGAAAAGAGAGUCAAAAAGUACUUGAACUUGUUAAGAGGGAAGAGCUGAAAACUAGUAUUGCUUGGGGUUACUUUCCCGCUCUGAUUGAAACGGUUGUGUACUGGGAGUUUAAACCCCAGUGCGCUUUUGAAUUAGUUAGAGUGGUCCUCUGUAGCUUUGAGUAGGUCAGCAUCAUUUCGAAGUGUGGGAGAAAGUUGGGCGGAAGGUAGGGUCUUCGGAUCUGUUAUAGACGCUCAGCCAUACCAUGCUUUGGAUUGAGGAUGUAUCGACGCUCCGUUUUACGGAGUGACCACCUGAUGCCUCAUCUGUUCUAUGCGCUGGAAAACAAUGCUUUGCUGUGUGUAGGAUGGGUGACUGUGUUAGGGCGUCACUGCGCCGACGCGAUGCUGACGAAAUGGUUUUCAUCUACCCGUCUUGAAACACGGACCAAGGAGUCUAACAUAUAUGCGAGUAUUUGGGUGGAAAACCCUGGUGCGUAAUGAAAGUAAAUGAGAUUUAUCUCUGAGGUAGGAAUCCCGCAAGGGAGGCACUAUCGACCGAUCGUCACUUGUGAAAGAUUUGAGUAAGAGCAUAUCUGUUGGGACCCGAAAGAUGGUGAUCUAUGCCUGAACAGGGUGAAGCCAGGGGAAACUCUGGUGGAGGGCUCGUAGCGAUACUGACGUGCAAAUCGUUCGUCUGAUUUGGGUAUAGGGGCGAAAGACUAAUCGAACUAUCUAGUAGCUGGUUCCCCC
rnacentral:misc_RNA from 1 species